rnacentral:tRNA from 1 species
GCCCCGGUAGCUCAGCGGAUAGAGCGGCCGCCUCCUAAGCGGCAGGUCGCAGGUUCGACUCCUGCCCGGGGCACCA